CAGGAGGAAAUCUCCGGACUUCCGCCCUC
rnacentral:sRNA from 1 species